CAGUCAUGCAAAUGCACUCACCCAUGUCCCUGGGUGCGGAGUACCAGUGCUGUGCGAGCUGGGAAUGGGGCAGAGCAGGUGAUUCAAACAAGUCACUGCCUACUCUUCAUUUCCACUGUUCUAGAGACUUCCUCUGUGUAAUACAGCAUGGCUCUUGUGGUACCUCCUCUUCAUUUUCUACUCAGCACUACAUAGAAAUGCUGAGAAGGUUCACUGCGUAACUGUGUGUGUGAUGUGGAGAAAAGAUCAAUUUAAUAAUUUAAAAAGGCAAAGCAACAAAUACAGGAACUGCGGCUCAUGGAGGAAAGGGAGCACUGAAGACACCCACCUUUUUGUUUUAGCAAUACCUCAUAUCAAACUAUAUUUUUGUAGCUAUGCAUGCUGUGCUUAUUUUCAUGAAGAAGUCCACUGCAGUAUGCUAGAAAGAAAACAGAUUUGAAAUGGGACCGUGUGCUUGGCUUCAAUUCUUUUUUUUUUUUAAUGUUUGCAUAGGUUGGAUUUUUCACUUUUUCUUUUCAUCCUUUCUGCACUCUCUUUCUCUCCUUGUUCUAACCUUUAUUUUUUGUAUUGUAUAGACAUAGCCACACUUAUUUUUACACAGUAGCUGUGGAUCUAAUGGUGCUACUGGAAGGUGAGAAUUGAAGCAAUGAGCAGUGCGUCACUGGUAGGGUUGACCUCAUUUCUUAUUAAUUCUUUUCUUACAGUAUGAGUAAAAAAACACUUAGUCUGAAGAUGGCACACUUGUGUGCUCUUGGGAUGUAUUUGCACGUAUGAAGGCAGCUGAGGAAAUCUUGAGUUUUAGGUGCUCAUCUCCACAUUCCCACCUCAGCUCUCCAGCUCUGCAAUUUUACAAGUGGUCUGCGGAUGCGUUUUGCAUGCCAAGACUGGGAAAUAAUUUGAGAUAUAAAUACCUUUCCAGAAAAUGAUGCAUCUGAGAACUGUGGCAGAUGCACAGGGACCAGAAGAGAGAGUGGGAGUCUCUUAAAAAUGACUCCUUCUCCAAGAAAAAAUAUUUGUGGAACUGUCUUGACACACAGAAAGACACACACACACAUCUCCCUGAUAUGAUACAGUAGGAUCUGAUCCUUCAUGGAGAACCCAGUUCAUCUUCUACAAUGCUCCACAAAACAGUUCUGUAGGUGGGUCCCCAUGGGGCAGGUAGGACAGCCCCUUGCUCUGUGCUCCUGGGCUGUGGACAGUCUGGCACUGGACAGCAGCAGCAGCAGGAGGGAAGGGAAGGAAUAGGUUGGGAUGCCUAGUGGGGGCUGCCUGGGAGGGGUGCUGCCUUUCCUACCUGCUGUGCUGUGAGGCUAGGGGCCUGAUGGCAUCACAGACUCUUUUUAAAGAACUCUUUUCACAUACUCUUUUAAAAGAGAGGGUAAGGUGAUUAGCAGUAGAAUAAUUAAUGUGUUUAUCAUGGGAAAAUAAAAUCUUAGGCAAAGCCUAUCGAGAGUCAUUUUUUUUUUCAUAACAAUGUAAAACGUUUGGUUUAUAGGGACUGUACCUGUGACUUUUUUUUCCCAUAUGGACUCAUGCUUUAGAGUAUAUCCUUGAGACCUGAUCAUUCACUCUUUCCUUUAAAUUAGGACUGUAUGUUCUAAAACUAUUAAUAUCAAAAAAGAUCAAGUUAAUAUAUAUCUCGUCAGACACUGUUGAAGUGACAUAUGUGCUGUUUUGGAAGACUUGUAUACUGAGUGACAGAAAUAAAAAAGCUGAAAUGACCAGAUGACCUUUUCUAUUGUUUUUUUUUUUCUUUGAUGGGUAAAUUAUUUUUAUACUUAAUAAGUUUACCUACUUUCUAAAAUUUCUAAAAUAAUUUCUUCAAGUACAAAAUUAAGCAUUUACUUUUUUUAGGGUGACCCUGCUGAUUGUGUUAAUAUAAGAAAUUUCUAUCUCGGUUGUUGACAAAGUGGAUUUUUAAAAUACUUCUUUCUAUGAUAUCUAGAUGCUGAAUUUUGAUUGGAAAAAUAACCAGGACUCCUUGGCUCUUGUAAAAUGACAAUGAUGGUUUUGAAUACUGUGAGAUAGCAUGAUUUCAAGAGAAUGAUAAAGAAUCAUAAAUGUUCGUCACUUGAGGAAACAGUUUAGAAAAGAGUUCCUUUUGUAUGCUUGGUAUAAAAAGAUCAUUUGCUUAAACUAUUUCAACAAACUAUUGUUUGCUGGAACAAAUUUUACCAAUCAGUGGGGCUUCAAUCCCCAGAUUAUGAAAUACUUAUUUGACUUUUUUAGGUUAUAAGGAUGAAUAAGGAAGGCUUGCCCAGGGAGUUUGUGGAGUCUCCUUCUAUGGAGAUAUUCAAGACCUGUCUGGAUGCCCACCUGUACAACCAAUUAUAGUCUACCUGCUUAAGCAGUGGAGUUGGACUCAAUGAUCUCUUGAGGUUCCUUCCAACCCUUGUGAUUCUGUAACAAACUAAAACCAGCCUGACAGUAGUCUGACUUUUGACAUUUUAAUGGUUAGCUGCUUUCCUUACUCCCUGGCAAUUCUGUAUGAAUAAAGCUUUGAAACCAGAGAUCUUGGCCAGGUGUUUCAGAACUCCAGAACGUUCCUCUCCUAUUAGAGAGAGGUUGCCCUGCAGAAACAGAGCCUAAAACUCUUCUGGAGAUGUAGCUAGUCAAGAGAUGGAGGAAGACCACACACAGGAUACAUUGGGGAGUCCUCAUCCUGCUGAAGUAACCAGUUGGAAAACCUGGCAGAUGUCACGUGGGAUAAAAAACUUACAGAAAGAAUUGGCAGCAGAGUUCAGCUGCAAAGCUGGCCACAAUACAAAUUGUUAUUAACCUUGAUUAAAUAUAAGUAAUGGCUGACUUCUCAGAAAGAUUGAAAUCUAGUAGCUUUGAAUGGGUAACAGCAAGCUGCCUUGCAAUUACCAAGAAGCAAACAUUAUAUACAAGAUUUAAUGUUGUGGUCAUCUGAUUAGCAUUGCAAAUAUAAGUAAUUUAUUUGUAGCGCCUAAUUAAGUUUAAAUGUUCUUCAGGUUUUUAGGGAAUAUCCUUUCUGUUCUCUAUCUAGCAAUUUUCAGGCCUGAUGAAUAUUUGGAAGAUUAAAUUACGAUGUCAGAUAGCCACAAAGCAGGACUCUUAAUAUGGAGUUUCAUUAGUAGUCUCUCCAGAGCUUAAGCUUCUCAACAGUUUGUUAUUUGCAAAAUUAAAACCACCUCUGAGAGUAGUUUCCAGUAUCUGACAGCAGUGAGUGACUGCACAUACUGUGCAAACAUACAAAUGUAUUUAAUAGAAGUAGCUUAGGAAAAGAGAUCUCCUGUUAUUCCCAAGCAGACACUGUUAUCUAUGGCUUUGGCUUAUUUCAUUGGGUGUUAUUCUCAUCUUGUCAGAUAUGAGUAAGUCUACUAGGAAUAGUUGAUUCCAGACAGGUUCUCAAAAGAAGUGUUUUGGUAGAUUUACUGUUCUGUGUAUUGUGUACUUCACAGAUUUCAAAAGGAAGCUGCAUCUUGUUAAAUGCAAUGACUGUACCAGGUGUCUUUGAAAGUGGGAUAGCUCUGGCAAUGGGAGCAACACAGAAAUGAUAGAAAAGGCAACUAUCAAUAGGAAAAUGUUUUCCAGAAAAGUCAAAUCAUUUUUGAAGCUCUUGAAGUAAUGCAUGCUAUGUCAGUACAAAAGUUCAUGAAGCUCUUUCUGCUAAAAAUGAAUUUUGAAUAAUUUGAUAAAACAAUCAUGGGGAAGAUGCCCCCCCGUAAAAACUCCACAAAGCUGUCAAUCUGAACAGAUAUUCAGAGUCAAGAAACGACUUAAUGCACUGUGAUGUCACUGCUUGUUUCAUAUAAAUGUUUUAUAAUUUCUUCCUUUCCUUCCUUUCCUUCCUUCACAAAAGAAGAAAGCUAAAGAAAUAUUUUCAUUCCAUUCUCAACCCUAUAUUUUCUUGUAUUCGUGGGAGUGGAAUUUCAUACUAAGAUCCAAUAGAGACCAAUGCUAUUUUAUCUGGCUAUAAAAUUCUUGAGUUUGUCAGAAUUCUUAGCCUAUGCUUUUACUUCUGAUAAUUUAAAUAGGAAUAUUUAGAAAUGGGAUUCAGCUAUUCGACUUUUUAAUCAUUCAUGAACUAAGCAGUAGAUAUCAUCUUGACCAUCAUAGUUUCUCAUUAUUUUUUAUUUUCAGAGAUGUAAGCAAUGAAGUUAAAACUACAGUUAUGGGCAUUUUCUAGUAUUUGUAAUAAGAUACAGAAAUUGAUAUAGCAUUACACAGACUUAACGGUUUCAGUACUUGAAGGAUGUAAUUCAUAGUGUUCACUGGAAGCUAUCAAAAGUUUUGUCCUGGAAGCAAUACAAGAUUUUUCCUUAAAGCUGCAAGAGUAGAGUGAUUCCUUGACAAUUUUUUUUUCUGACUUCCUAUUUUCUAGAGUCAAUAAAGGAGAAAAUCAUGGGCAUUUUUAUUGGCUUGCUUAUAUUACAGAUGAUGUCACAAACACAUCAAGAUAUAUAUGGUUCAGAAAUAUUGUACCAUGUGCAGCUAAUGCAUAAUAUAAAUUUAGUCUUCUUAGUUGAAGGAACUCUUGGAAUGUCUCUAAAUUUAAAUGUGUUGACAGCAAACUAACUCAUUUGAAAAUUAAUAAUAAUUUUAUAUUCAAAUAUUUUCAUAUAGUAGUAAUGAUACUAAGUAGUCUUACACAAAAAUCUAUUUGUAUAACAGCUGCUAUUAUGUGAUUUUUUUUUAAUGUAAAUUGUGUGGAAAUUCAAAAAGCUCUAGUUCUCUUUUUGAGAGAUGCAUUAAACAGUUUCUACUAAACUUUUAGCAAUUACACAUAAUUUCAUUAUAAUCAUAUGAGCUCUUUAUACUAUUUUCACCUUUUUGAACUAGGAUAUUUCUGUAAUUUCUUACAACAGAAUUUGUAGGUGAAGAAGCAGGGGGAAGAAUUGAUCAGAAUUAAAUUUCCUUGGCUGGAUGAAUCAGAUAUCUCUCCUUGAGAGCUUAGCAAGAAGUCUCUUGUAUUCCACAGUGAGGAAAUAGCAUGGUAUGACUCCUUGGCUUUUAUGGGAGCGAGUCAUUCAGCAGAGGUUACUGAAGGAUAAGCAGAUGGAUUUCCAGUGUUUUCCAUUUCCACUUCUUUGCUUAGCUUGGACCAAUAUUAUGGCAAUUGAUUUGUACCACCUCUUUAAAAGGUGAAAUGAAUGAAGAAUGUGAAACACAGAAUUGUAGUGGCUGGAAGGGACCUCUAUAUGUAACACAUAAAUAUAUGUUCUAGUUUUCUGGAUAGAUAUAUGAAGAUAAGAAGGAGGCUUUGUUCUUGUCUUGCUGUAUAUGCCUCAACAUUUAAUCUCUAAAACUGAUUUGGUAAUCCUAAUUUCAUUUUUUAGCUGAUAAAGGCAAUUUCAGAAAUUACUUCAUCUCACCUUUUUAGACAGCUUGUUUGUGCUGGGGUGGAUUGCUCUCUGCAUGCACCAGCUUUCUAUUUAAUGCAGAGUGCUUAGGUUGCUUAGCACAGACCUGAGUGUCUAGAAUUAAAUUUCUAUGUUCAAGCAGG
rnacentral:lncRNA from 1 species